rnacentral:tRNA from 1 species
AGGAAGUUAGCAGAAUGGUAAUGCGUUUGAUUUAGGAUCAAAAGAUUGUAGGUUUUUACACUUUCUA